AUUGAACGCUGGCGGCAGGCCUAACACAUGCAAGUCGAGCGGAUGAAGGGAGCUUGCUCCUGGAUUCAGCGGCGGACGGGUGAGUAAUGCCUAGGAAUCUGCCUUGUAGUGGGGGAUAACGUCCGGUAACGGGCGCUAAUACCGCAUACGUCCUUAGGGAGAAAGUGGGGGAUCUUCGGACCUCACGCUAUCAGAUGAGCCUAGGUCGUAUUAGCUAGUUGGUGAGGUAAAGGCCUACCAAGGCGACGAUCCGUAACUGGUCUGAGAGGAUGAUCAGUCACACUGGAACUGAGACACGGUCCAGACUCCUACGGGAGGCAGCAGUGGGGAAUAUUGGACAAUGGGCGAAAGCCUGAUCCAGCAAUGCCGCGUGUGUGAAGAAGGUCUUCGGAUUGUAAAGCACUUUAAGUUGGGAGGAAGGGCAGUAAGUUAAUACCUUGCUGUUUUGACGUUACCAACAGAAUAAGCACCGGCUAACUUCGUG
rnacentral:rRNA from 1 species